rnacentral:rRNA from 1 species
CCUACGAGAGGCAGCCGUGAGGAAUAUUGGUCAAUGGGCGCGAGCCUGAACCAGCCACGUAGCGUGAAGGAUGAAUGCCCUACGGGUUGUAACCUUCUUUUAUAAAGGACUGAAGUGAGGCACGUGUGCCUUUUUGUCUGUACUUUAUGAAUAAGGAUCGGCUAACUACGUGCCAGCAGCCGCGGUAAUACGGAGGGUCCGAGCGUUCUCCGGAUUUAUUGGGUUUAAGGGGAGCGUAGAUGGGUGGUUAAGUCAGUUGUGAAAGUUUGCGGCUCAACCGUAAAAUUGCAAUUGAUACUGGCAGUCUUGAGUACAGUUGAGGUAGGCGGAAUUCGUGGUGUAGCGGUGAAAUGCUUAGAUAUCACGAAGAACCCCGAUUGCGAAGGCAGCUUACUAAACUGUGACUGACAUUGAUGCUCGAAAGUGUGGGUAUCAAACAGGAUUAGAUACCCGGGUAGUC